CCUUGAAUACAUAUACCACCAUUCUUAUUACCUCGUCGUCAUAAAUUCUUUGGAUAUCUGGAAAAACUUUGUCCUUCCAUUCACAUUUCAAGUUGCCUUCUUCACUGGCCAUUUUACUAAAAUUUAACUGCCUCUUGAAGACUCUUCUGAGGUAUUUCAUCAAACAUUUUGUCUACUCUAUUUUAUUUUUAUUUCACCAUAAAUUUCAAUUCUCUUGAUCUGAUAAACCCUAACUUGUCCAUUUGAUGAUGCUGCUGAGUUGUACGCUAAAUCUGCCAAACAUUUCAAACUUGCCAAAUCCUGAGACCGAGCUAGAACACUUAGGUAGAAUCGGCAUUGCUGCGAGAUAUUGCAAGGAUUUUGGUGAGUUAUAUGAACUUGAGGAGAAUGAUGAGAAGGCUACUCUAUUCUUUGAACAGGCGUCUGAAUAUUUUGAAAAUGCAGAAGCAACAACCUCAGCCAAAUAGUGCAAACUGAAAGUUGCUCAAUUUUCUACUCAACAAGAACGUAGCGACGACUUUGCUGCAUUUCUUGAGGCAGAGCUAGAAGCUACUUCAGCUGAAUCAUCACUAGAUGAAGUGGCUGAAGAUGAAAACUAUAAAAUGAGGAAGCAAGGGAUGAAGAACCUAAGGAUGAAGAAGCCAAGGAUAAGGAGGUUGCAGAUGAUAAUGACCUUAAUGGCGAGAGAUGAGUAAAACAUGUUGUGUUUUUGUCGGUCGAGCUCCAGGUUUAUUUUCUACUUGGGAACAAUGUAAAGCAUAAGUUCACAGGUAUUCGGAUGCUGUUCCUUGUGCUUUUAAGGCAGAAAAUAAUGCUCAAGCUGCUUUCAUUACUUUCUGCGAAGAAAGUAAAUAGUGUAAAGAAGUAAACAAUCUUUGUGCACAUUUUCUUAAAUAAUGUUUUGAUGUAACAAGUUGCUAUAUA